rnacentral:tRNA from 1 species
UCCCUGGAGGUCCAGUAGUUAAGACACUGUGCUUCUACUUCAGGGGUCACAGAUUCAAUCCCUGUUUGGGGAA